rnacentral:rRNA from 1 species
ACACGUGGGCAAUCUGCCCUUCACUCUGGGACAAGCCCUGUGAAACGGGGUCUAAUACCGGAUAACACUCUGUCCCGCAUGGGACGGGGUUGAAAGCUCCGGCGGUGAAGGAUGAGCCCGCGGCCUAUCAGCUUGUUGGUGGGGUGAUGGCCUACCAAGGCGACGACGGGUAGCCGGCCUGAGAGGGCGACCGGCCACACUGGGACUGAGACACGGCCCAGACUCCUACGGGAGGCAGCAGUGGGGAAUAUUGCACAAUGGGCGAAAGCCUGAUGCAGCGACGCCGCGUGAGGGAUGACGGCCUUCGGGUUGUAAACCUCUUUCAGCAGGGAAGAAGCGAGAGUGACGGUACCUGCAGAAGAAGCGCCGGCUAACUACGUGCCAGCAGCCGCGGUAAUACGUAGGGCGCAAGCGUUGUCCGGAAUUAUUGGGCGUAAAGAGCUCGUAGGCGGCUUGUUGCGUCGGUUGUGAAAGCCCAGGGCUUAACCCCGGGUCUGCAGUCGAUACGGGCAGGCUAGAGUGUGGUAGGGGAGAUCGGAAUUCCUGGUGUAGCGGUGAAAUGCGCAGAUAUCAGGAGGAACACCGGG